UGGGAUGUGGCUCAGUGGUAGAGCACUUGCUUAGCAUGCAUGAGGCCCUGGGUUUGAUCCUCAGCACCACAC
rnacentral:tRNA from 1 species